GAUCAUGGCUCGAAUUGAACGCUGGCGGGAUGCUUUACACAUGCAAGUCGAACGGCAACUGGACUUCGGGUCUGGGCGAGUGGCGAACGGGUGAUUAAUGUAUCGGAGGCAGUGCUAGUAGCGGGGGAUAACUACGCGAGCGUAGCUAAUACCGCAUACGCCGCGAGGGGGAAAGCGGGGGACCUUCGGGCCUCGCACUGGCCGACGGCCGAUAUCGGAUUAGCUAGUUGGUGGGGUAACGGCUCACCAAGGCGACGAUCCGUAGCUGGUUUGAGAGGACGACCAGCCACACUGGGACUGAGACACGGCCCAGACUCCUGCAAGGAGGCGAGUGGGGAACUUUGGACAAUGGAAACCUGAUCCAGCCAUCCCGCGUGUGCGAUGAAGGCCUUCCGGGUUAUGCAGCACUUUUGGCAGGAAAGAAACAGCACGGGAUAAUACCCCGUGCAACUGACGGUACCUGCAGAAUAAGCACCCAAUAACUACGUGCCAGCAGCCGCGGUAAUACGUAAGGGUGCAAGCGUUAAUCGGAAUUACUGGGCGUAAAGCGUGCGCAGGCAGUUGGAAAAGAAGAAUGUGAAAUCCAGAGCUUAACUUUGGAACUGCAUUUUUAACUACCGAGCUAGAGUGUGUCAGAGGAGGUGGAAUUCCGCAUGUAGCAGUGAAAUGCGUAGAUGUGGAGGGAACACCGAUGGCGAAGGCAGCCUCCUGGGAUAACACUGACGCUCAUGCACGAAAGCGACAGGGAGCGACAGGAUUAGAUACCCUGGUAGUCCACGCCCUAAACGAUGUCAACUAGCUGUUGGGGCCUUCGGGCCUUGGUAGCGCAGCUAACGCGUGAAGUUGACCGCCUGGGAAGUACGGUCGCAAGAUUAAAACUCAAAGGAAUUGACGGGGACCCACAAGCGGUGGAUGAUGUGGAUUAAUUCGAUGCAACGCGAAAACCUUACCUACCCUUGACAUGUCUGGAAUCCCGAAGAGAUUUGGGAGUGCUCGCAAGAGAACCGGAACACAGGUGCUGCAUGGCUGUCGUCAGCUCGUGUCGUGAGAUGUUGGGUUAAGUCCCGCAACAGCAGCCUUGUCAUUGGAUUUGCUACGAAAGGGCACUCCUAAUGAGACUGCCGGUGACAAACCGGAGGAAGGUGGGGAUGACGUCAAGUCCUCAUGGCCCUUAUGGGUAGGGCUUCACACGUCAUACAAUGGUCGGGACAAGAGGUCGCCAACCCGCGAGGAGGAGCCAAUCCCAGAAACCCGAUCGUAGUCCGGAUGUGAUCUGCAACUCGACUGCGUGAAGUCGGAAUCGCUAGUAGUCGCGGAUCAGCAUGUCGCGGUGAAUACGUUCCCGGGUCUUGUACACCGCCCGUCACACCAUGGGGUGGGUUUUGCAAGUAGUUAGCCUAACCGUAAGGAGGGCGAUUACCACGGUAGGAUUCAUGACUGGGGUGAAGUCGUAACAAGGUAG
rnacentral:rRNA from 1 species